UAGCGAUGUCGUUAAAUAAAGCCUGCCCGGAGAUGGUGUCGGGCCGGUGGGACCGUUCGGGUCUUACGCAAUGAAUCCUGCGAACCGUGUCAGAUCGGGAACGAAGCAGCACUAAGCAGAUCCUUUCAUGUGCCGUAAGGGUGCCUGGCGGUCCGGCCGGUUCGACAGCACCGCCGGGCAUUUUGUUA
rnacentral:misc_RNA from 1 species